UACGUAGGGGGCAAGCGUUGUCCGGAAUCAUUGGGCGUAAAGAGCGCGUAGGCGGCCCAGUAAGUCCGCUCUGAAAGUCAGGGGCUCAACCCCUGAAUGCGGGUGGAUACUGCUGGGCUUGAGUCCGGAAGAGGCGAGUGGAAUUCCUGGUGUAGCGGUGAAAUGCGCAGAUAUCAGGAGGAACACCAAUGGCGAAGGCAGCUCGCUGGGACGGUACUGACGCUGAGACGCGAAAGCGUGGGGAGCAAACAGG
rnacentral:rRNA from 1 species